UGCAUUCACUACUGUAAGUCGCUCUGGAUAAGAGCAUCUGCUAAAUGACAAAAU
rfam:Salmo salar isolate Sally breed double haploid chromosome ssa10, whole genome shotgun sequence.